AGUAUAGAUUGAUCUUUGUUCAAUUUGCCAUUUCCUUUGUCCAUGUAGGUUCCUUGUGAAAUUCCACAUUGCUCCAGAUUUCAGGGACAGCUCUUGCUUCAUGUACCCAGGACCUGUUUCAAAUUCAGCUAAUGGAGAUUAUAUCUGCCUCGGCCUCUUCCGCAAACACUGGAUUCACUGGAGUGUGUUACAGACAAUACGGCUCUCAAACAAUGAAGCAUUUGUGUUCAUUUUCUUCUAUUUUAUCUUUGGAAUUCUACUAUUUAGGUCACUAUCUGUUGCUUCCAGCUACUCUUCCCUGACAAAUUGUAGCUCUUUUUAGGCUUAAAAAGAUAUAAUCAAUGAAUUCAUCUCUGUUAUUCCUCUGGGUAUAAAGGUCUAGGUGUAAUAAGUGGUACACAUAUUCCAAGAUUACGUUGCUGUUCCUGAACUGCAGCCCCAAGAUUAAUUGUGCGUUAUAGGCCAAAAUUUGAAGAGCUGCUGGAUGCUGACCUCUUCAAAAAUCUGAGAUAAAUAACACAAUAAAGAACACUGUUACCAAAUUUCUCA
rnacentral:lncRNA from 1 species